rnacentral:lncRNA from 1 species
AGAACAGAACUGGCCUCCCCCAUCCUAGGCCUCCCUGUCCAGCCCCGCCGGGCAGCAAAGUCCAGGGCUAGCACUGCACCCGGAGGACUGGGGGCCUGGGUAUCCCCUCCAUUCCGCCCUCCCCCAGCCCUGCUGCCGGAUGUGGUGAGGCCCAGGUGUGCGUGGGGUGUCUGAGCCACAAGAAUUGUUGGCAGUGAACUCCCAAACUCAAGCAGAGAAGUUGAGGUGGGUGGAGACAGCGUCACUGCGCUGGAGCUGCCCUCGCCCUGCCCCCAGCUGCGUGGGAUUUCAGAACCCACCCUCCAAGCCCCCAGUCUCCUGAGGCCCUCCUCCGUGCCCUCUGAAAGACCCUUCCGGCUCCCCCACAGACCCCUGUGUCCAGACCGUCUUGAAGAGUGACAGCUGGGACCUGUGGAGAGCCCGCAGCCCUUCUGGACUUGUCUGCCCUGAGUUCCUCACAGCAGUGUGCUGUAUGCCUGGUUGUGUGCAGGGCAGCAUCGUACCUGUGCAGUUCCACUAUGUGUGAGAAGGAGCUGGAGCUUGUGUGUGCUGGGGUCAGAGCCGAUGCAGAGGAGAAAAGCCCCAAGGACUCCAAAGGUCCCUGGGGCCACGUCACCCUCUCAGUGUCUCCAUCUGUAAGGGGAGCACAUCAUGGUGCAGCGGCUCUUCCACACUGGCUCCAACGCUCUAAGGCUACUCCACUGUCUGGGCAACUUGGCUGAGGCCCCGCUGUCCCUGGCAGGCCAGUCUGGAGGCUGAGGCAGCAAAGCCCACAACAGAGCCAGGGAGUCUGGGCCACAGAUCCCAAAGGCUGAUAUGAGCCCUUAUCUUUGGCAUCGGCCUCCAAAUGACUUAAUGCUUAUUCCAGGGGCAAAUUACAGAGCGUGCAGAAGGACAAUCAGGUCCAGUCUUGCUGCUGGGCCAGGAGCCAAAGCCUUCCAGCUCUGUGGGAGGACCCCAGCCAGGUGGGAUCCCUGAUUCAGGAGUGAAUUCAGCUCAGCCGUGUAAGGGGCUCCAGACCCAACUCCCAUGCUGGGCUGGGCCUCUUCCCCUCCUUCUGGAGAAUCUGGUAUACCUUGCCGGGGAGUUCUGCAUGUGGGGAGAGCAUUGCUGAAGGUUUGCUCUCAUAGCACAGUCCCUGGGGCCUGGCACUCUUGGCCAUGACCAGUGGUCUCUUUUUCUUUUUCUUUUUAAGUGACAGGAUCUUGUUAUGUUGCCCACACUGGCCUCAAACUCCUGAGCUCAAGUGAUCCUCCUGCCUCAGCCAACAGAGUAGCUGGGACUAUAGGCACGUGCCACCACCCAGCUCAGGACUGGUGAUGACUGCCUAAAGUGGCUGCACAUAUGUCACCCCCUUGAGGCCAUUUGUCUUGGGGCUGUCCCCUUUUCAGCUCUGGAACGUGGACUUACGGAGGCCCAGCUUAGCCAUGAAGGAGGGCCUUCCCUUUGCCUUCUUUCCCUACUCCCAAACUGGGGAAAGCCCCACCCCCGAUUACUGGGUGAAAGCCCAGGGCUGGGGUAAGAAGAGGGGGAGAGACUUACCAGCCCAUGUCCCUCUCCUGCUUUUGCUCUGACAAAAGCCCCCCAAGCCUUGGAUGCUGCCUGUGGUGAUAAUGGUGCAGGACGCCUGCUCCUCUCCGCCACCCACUCAGAGUCUCCCCAACCACCGUUCGCCAGAGCCCAGCCUUGGGAGCCACAGCAGAGAGGAGGCAGGGCAUUGGGUGUAGGGGUGAGGACACAAUGAGGAGGGGUCUCUGCUAGACUGGAUGCCCCACAGCCUGAAGGCUCUGGAAGCAGGACCCAGUCCUCGCCACUGGCUGGGAAGGGGCUGACCCAGGUUGGGGGUCCCUGCUCAGAGCUCUCUCUGUUUUUGUUUGUUUUUCUUGGCCUGGCUCUUACAGAGCAGACAAUAUCAAGUAAGUUUGGGCUCAGCACUGUUUUUAAAAUUGAAAACCUGUGAGACUCACCGGGAACAAAUGAUGAUUCUGCAUGUUAUUCUUUUUAUAACCAUCUAUUUUGACGGCUGUUUAAGCGUCACUGGCUCCUGCCUUUGGGAUUCCAGGUCUUUCCUGGCCCUGGCAGCACAUCCAUCAGCCCCCUGCACAGCAGGUCUCCCUCCCACAGCUGCCUCGC